CCUACGGGAGGCAGCAGUGGGGGAUAUUGGACAAUGGGGGGAACCCUUAUCCAGCGACGCCGCGUGAGUGAAGAAGUAUUUCGGUAUGUAAAGCUCUGUCAGCAGGGAAGCACGAACUGACGGUACCUGACCAAGAAGCCCCGGCUAACUACGUGCCAGCAGCCGCGGUACUCCGUAGGGGGCACGCGUUCUCCGGAAUUACUGGUUGUAAAGGGAGCGUAGACGGUUAAGUAAGCCUGGAGUGAAAGGCCGGGGCCCAACCCCGGGACUGCUCUGGAAACUAUUGAACUUGAGUGCAGGAGAGGGAAGCGGAAUGCCGAGUGUAGCGGUGAAAUGCGUAGAUAUUAGGAGGAACACCAGUGGCGAAGGCGGCUUACUGGACUGUAACUGACGUUGAGGCGCGAAAGCGUGGGGAGCAAACAGGAUUAGAUACCCCGGUAGUC
rnacentral:rRNA from 1 species